GGGGUUGUAGCUCAAUGGUAGAGCACUUGCCUAGCAUGCAAGAGGCACUGGAUUCAAUCCCCAGCACCA
rnacentral:tRNA from 1 species